rnacentral:tRNA from 1 species
GGGAAAGAAGCUACACUUUAGCAAUUAGCUGUUACCUAAUAAAUAGUGAGUUACUCACCUGCCCUA